AUUGAACGCUGGCGGCAGGCCUAACACAUGCAAGUCGAACGCGUCGCACGCGGGAGAGUAAUGUCGGGAACACCGCCAUAUGGAGGGGGAUAACUACUGAAAACGGUCGCAAAUACCGCAUACCAUCGGAUGUCCCCAGAUGGGAUUGGCUAGUAGGUGGGGUAAAGGCUCACAUAGGCGACGAUCCCUAGCUGGUCUGAGAGGAUGAACAGCCACACUGGAACGGAGACACGGUCCAGACUCCUACGGGAGGCAGCAGUGGGGAAUAUUGCACAAUGGGCGCAAGCCUGAUGCAGCCAUGCCGCGUGUAUGAAGAAGGCCUUCGGGUUGUAAAGUACUUUCAGCGGGGAGGCGUUACCCGCAGAAGAAGCACCGGCUAACUCCGUGCCAGCAGCCGCGGUAAUAC
rnacentral:rRNA from 1 species